GGGCAGGCAGGAAAUGUAGGUGGAGGGAGUGAAUAUACAGUGCUCUCUCCGUCCUCAAUAACAUGACUGAGGUGCCCUUGCUCCAUUGGCACCGCAGCAUAAAUGGCUGCCCACUGCUCUGGGUGUUUCCUUAUACCUUUUCCAUUUCUUUGGCAGUGUUUCCUCGGGCUCCCAAGUAGACCAUGCUGAGCGCUGCGCUGAUGCUCAGUGGAGAAAAGAACAUGUUUCCCGCAGCGUUGCUCUCGCUCAGAGCCCGAUAGAGAUCCAGAGCGAAGAGACUGUUAGCACGAGACAGACCCUCCAUGACUGAUGAAAACUCGCUCGACGAUGCUUGUCCCAAAAGAACAUCUGACUGAAAGAGAAUCCUGCCCUAGACUCAUGCGCUAUAUAAAUGGACCAGCAACGCCCAUAAAGUGUAGAACAAGCUAGACAGGUAAACUGCAUGAGUUAGACUUAUCACAGGUGAGUCAGUCUCACAACCCCCCACCCUUUUAUUACCUUUUCAUGUGCUUCCAUCAUUUUACUGCAUAAUGUGCAACUUUUUAACCAGCCAAGUUCAAAAGCGAGUGAAAACAUUUGUUGGAAAGGUUGAGUGUGCUUUCUAUGGAGAGGCAGAGAGAGUGGACAAUAGGAAAAACAAUUGUUUUGUCAGCAACACAAGGCAGAUGCAUUCAAUGAAUGUGACAGCUCUGGACUAAUCAGUUGGACUUUGUGCAUAAAGGGUGAGUCACACUAGUGGAUCAGAGGUUCUGCACAAUAAAACCUUGUCAACUGCCUUUCACAAUAGGCGCUGUGUUUGUGGAGGAAGUGUAUGUCGAAAGGCUUCUUCGCAUCUGUAAAAAAAAGGGUUAAUUUUUUUCUUGAAUGCUAUCUUAAGCAUAUAGACCAGGGGUGGCAGCCCUGCUGAGUUCAGCUCCAACCC